rnacentral:rRNA from 1 species
UACGUAGGUGACAAGCGUUGUCCGGAUUUACUGGGCGUAAAGAGCGCGCAGGCGGUCGAUCAAGUCGAGUGUGAAAGCCCCCGGCUCAACUGGGGAGGGUCACGCGAUACUGAUCGACUCGAAGGCAGGAGAGGGUAGUGGAAUUCCCGGUGUAGUGGUGAAAUGCGUAGAUAUCGGGAGGAACACCAGUGGCGAAGGCGACUACCUGGCCCAUUCUUGACGCUGAGGCGCGAAAGCUAGGGGAGCGAACGGG